GUAAACUGAGUCCAGGGCUCUAUCAUGCAUCUGAGAGGCCGCUCCCAUCCUAGCGUAUUUGUUUCUAGGUGCUCUUUGCUCUCUGUCUCUUUUUGGCUCAUCUUGCACUCGGGGCCUGGCCUGUCUUCUCCACCCCAGCUGGAGUCACAGUCACGUUCAUGGCCCAGACGACCUUCUGCAGAGACAAGGUGAAUGUUUCUCGAAGGAAACUCGUACUAAAAAGGUUUAGAAAAUCCUGUCUGGAUUUGGAAUCUGGCCCAAUUUGCCUCACAUGGAUCGGGUCGCGGAAAGAGCACUGCUCAGAGGAUCUGAUAAAGGGAGCUGUGCUCCUGAUUCCGACCCUUGCUGCCCGCGUGCCUGUGGACAAGCCCCAGCGGGAGACGCAAGGACUUCUGGACAGGCAGCCCAGAAGACCAAGGGGCUCGCUCAGGUCACGCGGUGAGACCGCGCCGAAUCCCGUCUCUAGAACACGUUGCUCUCAAAUAGAAUCCUCCCCUUGGGAGGGUAGAGACCUUCGCUGCCACGUGUCCCUCCCGUCUCCUGCGUGCAGAGUGCGACGUUUGGCACCUUGCGGGUGCUUGAUUGGAAGUAGAAUGAAGAACGGGUCUCGGUGGAAGAACUUUCACGGGUACAGAGCGAGGUGGUGGCCACACGGGCAAGGCAGAGGUGCUGCUGGCUCUCUAGGUGCGCGUGUGGAGCGGACGCCCCCCACGAAGAGUGCCAUCCCUGCAGAGUCUGGUUUCCCGCUUUGCCGAUUCAGGUAUUUGCUCUGUCCGGUUCCUUGUUAUUGA
rnacentral:lncRNA from 1 species